rnacentral:rRNA from 1 species
GACGAACGCUGGCGGCGUGCUUAACACAUGCAAGUCGAGCGGAGCGGCGAACGGGUGAGUAACGCGUGAGUAACUGCCCCCCUCUCUGGGAUAACAGUUGGAAACGGCCGCUUAUACCGGAUAGUUGGGAAUGUCUCGCGUCCUAUCAGCUUGUUGGUGGGGUAGUGGCCGACAAAGGCAACGACGGGGAGCCGGCCUGAGAGGGCGACAGGCCACAUUGGGAUGAGAUAGGGCCCAAACUCCUACGGGAGGCAGGAGGGGGGAUUAUUGCACAAUGGGGGAAACGCUGAUGCAGCAACGCCGCGUGCGGGAUGACGGCCUUCGGGUGGUAAACGGCUUUCAGCCAUGACGCGGUAGUGGCAGAAGAAGCACCGGCUAACUACGGGCCAGCAGCCGCGGUAAUAC